rnacentral:rRNA from 1 species
UACGAGGGGGCUAGCGUUGCUCGGAAUUACUGGGCGUAAAGCGCACGUAGGCGGCUUUCUAAGUCGGAGGUGAAAUCCUGGAGCUCAACUCCAGAACUGCCUUCGAUACUGGAGAGCUUGAGUCCGGGAGAGGUGAGUGGAACUGCGAGUGUAGAGGUGAAAUUCGUAGAUAUUCGCAAGAACACCAGUGGCGAAGGCGGCUCACUGGCCCGGUACUGACGCUGAGGUGCGAAAGCGUGGGGAGCAAACAGG